UUUUAAAACUCUUUCAUCUAACUUUAAGCUCUCUUUCUACAAACGCAGAGAAACCGGCGACCCAUGUAACUCACCACUCCGAUGAGGUCCUCCGCCACCAGCGAUGACCACCUCGUUGUGACCUUCAUCUUCCUCCUCCGUUCAAACUCUCUACACUAUCUUCCCUAUGUGCUCGUUGCAUAUGAACACCAAGAAUAAAUCCAGCGACCACCUCACUUCUCGACCUCGCUUAUAUACAGAAAUCAACUCGGGAAAAUUAUUACCCAGAUCUCCAGCGAACUCACCGUAGCUGCAAGCGUUUCUUGGCCAUUUUCGACCAUGGAUGUGAAUGAAAAUGGUGCGAUGACUAUCGGAGACUCCGGCCUUCCUAGCUCGAACGAAUGUGACAUCGCAAAUAACUGUUUAAGUGCUGAGCUUUCGUGUUGGUGAAAAUUGUUGGCAAAUCUUGGUAUACGUGGUUACCUUCGAUGGUGUUGGCCAGCACAGCUCGAUUCAAAGUCUAGGUGGACAUUCCGGGUCGGAGUGUGUAAAAAAUAAUGACCAAAUUAUUCUAUAUAUAUUAUUAAAAGUGUACAUUGAAGCAAAGUACAAUAAUAGAAUCUAAUACAAGUCUA